rnacentral:rRNA from 1 species
UACGUAGGGAGCAAGCGUUGUUCGGAUUUACUGGGCGUAAAGGGCGCGUAGGCGGCGCGGUAAGUCACUUGUGAAAUCUCUGAGCUUAACUCAGAACGGCCAAGUGAUACUGCAGUGCUAGAGUGCAGAAGGGGCAAUCGGGAAUUCUUGGUGUAGCGGUGAAAUGCGUAGAUAUCAAGAGGAACACCUGAGGUGAAGACGGGUUGCUAGGCUGACACUGACGCUGAGGCGCGAAAGCCAGGGGAGCAAACGGG